GACCUGGCCCGCCCCUACCCCGCCGGCCUGCAGACCCCGGUCCGGGGGCCCCCCUGGCGCCCGGGCUAGCUGUCGGGUACGCGUCUUGUAGGCUUUGUUCUCUACAGUGAUCUUGUGAGAAGGAAACCAAGUUGCAGUAUUCUGCCAUUCAAAACUCUCCAGUGCUUCUGAUUCCAAUUCAAACAACGUCUGAAUUUCUCACCACAACUACGAGCGGUGCUGUGCUGGUAACAACCAGUUCGCAGAGGCAGAGAGCCCUGAUUUGUAGCAUUUGUUAAUUGUGGUGCAUAUUCCCCUCCAUGGCCGAUUUCAAGCUUCUAAGCUGAUAUCACUGAGCUCAGAGUUGAGAAGGGAUGCAAAGAAUCAAGACAGAGCCAGUCUGAGUUGACACCAACGCACUGCUGCACCAAGGCCCCACACAUAAGAUCUGGCCCCAGACGCCUUCUCCAGACAACCUGCUUAUUCUGCCACCCCUGUUCACUCUGCUGGAUCACUGGCUUUCUUGCUGUUUCUCGAACAUAACAAGCACAUUUACACCUCAGGGCCUUGGUACUUGCUGUUCGCUGUUUGGGAUGCUCUUCUCCGGAAAUGUGCAUAACUUGCUGUGCCACUUCAUUCAGGUCUCGGCUCAACUGUUACGGAGAGGCCUCCCCUGAGCAUUUUCCCUAAGACAUCCUACCCACUCCCACCCUCCAUCACUUUUAUUCCUUGCUCUGCUUUGUUUUUUCUCCGGGGGCCUCAAUCCCUAUCUGAUAAUAAAUGAUAGAUAUUUAAACUUA